UACAGAGGGUGCAAGCGUUGUUCGGAAUUAUUGGGCGUAAAGCGCGUUUAGGCGGCUUUGCAAGUCGGUCGUGAAAUCCCUCAGCUCAACUGAGGAAGUGCGCCCGAAACUGCAGAGCUUGAGUACCGGAGAGGAUGGCGGAAUUCCCGAAGUAGAGGUGAAAUUCGUAGAUAUUAGGAAGAACACCAGUGGCGAAGGCGGCUCACUGGCCCGGUACUGACGCUGAGGCGCGAAAGCGUGGGGAGCAAACAGG
rnacentral:rRNA from 1 species